CUCCUACGGGAGGCAGCAGUGGGGAAUUUUGGACAAUGGGGGAAACCCUGAUCCAGCCAUGCCGCGUGAGUGAAGAAGGCCUUCGGGUUGUAAAGCUCUUUCAGCCGGGACGAAAUCGCACGCGUGAAUAUCGCGUGUGGAUGACGGUACCGGAAGAAGAAGGACCGGCUAACUACGUGCCAGCAGCCGCGGUAAUACGUAGGGCCCGAGCGUUAAUCGGAAUUACUGGGCGUAAAGCGUGCGCAGGUGGUUUUGUAAGCCAGAUGUGAAAUCCCCGGGCUUAACCUGGGAACUGCAUUUGGGACUGCAAGGCUAGAGUACGGCAGAGGGGGGUAGAAUUCCUGGUGUAGCAGUGAAAUGCGUAGAUAUCAGGAGGAAUACCGAUGGCGAAGGCAGCCCCCUGGGUCGAUACUGACGCUCAUGCACGAAAGCGUGGGGAGCAAACAGGAUUAGAUACCCUGGUAGUCCACGCCCUAAACGAUGUCAACUAGUUGUUGGGGGCCUUACCGCCCUUAGUAACGCAGCUAACGCGUGAAGU
rnacentral:rRNA from 1 species